AACGCUGGCGGCGUGCCUAAUACAUGCAAGUCGAGCGAACUGAUUAGAAGCUUGCUUCUAUGACGUUAGCGGCGGACGGGUGAGUAACACGUGGGCAACCUGCCUGUAAGACUGGGAUAACUUCGGGAAACCGAAGCUAAUACCGGAUAGGAUCUUCUCCUUCAUGGGAGAUGAUUGAAAGAUGGUUUCGGCUAUCACUUACAGAUGGGCCCGCGGUGCAUUAGCUAGUUGGUGAGGUAACGGCUCACCAAGGCAACGAUGCAUAGCCGACCUGAGAGGGUGAUCGGCCACACUGGGACUGAGACACGGCCCAGACUCCUACGGGAGGCAGCAGUAGGGAAUCUUCCGCAAUGGACGAAAGUCUGACGGAGCAACGCCGCGUGAGUGAUGAAGGCUUUCGGGUCGUAAAACUCUGUUGUUAGGGAAGAACAAGUACGAGAGUAACUGCUCGUACCUUGACGGUACCUAACCAGAAAGCCACGGCUAACUACGUGCCAGCAGCCGCGGUAAUACGUAGGUGGCAAGCGUUAUCCGGAAUUAUUGGGCGUAAAGCGCGCGCAGGCGGUUUCUUAAGUCUGAUGUGAAAGCCCACGGCUCAACCGUGGAAGGUCAUUGGAAACUGGGGAACUUGAGUGCAGAAGAGAAAAGCGGAAUUCCCCGUGUAGCGGUGAAAUGCGUAGAGAUGUGGAGGAACACCGGUGGCGAAAGCGGCUUUUUGGUCUGUAACUGACGCUGAAGCGCGAAAGCGUGGGGAGCAACCAGGAUUAGAUACCCUGGUAGUCCACGCCGUAAACGAUGAGUGCUAAGUGUUAGAGGGUUUCCGCCCUUUAGUGCUGCAGCUAACGCAUUAAGCACUCCGCCUGGGGAGUACGGUCGCAAGACUGAAACUCAAAGGAAUUGACGGGGGCCCGCACAAGCGGUGGAGCAUGUGGUUUAAUUCGAAGCAACGCGAAGAACCUUACCAGGUCUUGACAUCCUCUGACAACUCUAGAGAUAGAGCGUUCCCCUUCGGGGGACAGAGUGACAGGUGGUGCAUGGUUGUCGUCAGCUCGUGUCGUGAGAUGUUGGGUUAAGUCCCGCAACGAGCGCAACCCUUGAUCUUAGUUGCCAGCAUUAGUUGGGCACUCUAAGGUGACUGCCGGUGACAAACCGGAGGAAGGUGGGGAUGACGUCAAAUCAUCAUGCCCCUUAUGACCUGGGCUACACACGUGCUACAAUGGAUGGUACAAAGGGCUGCAAGACCGCGAGGUCAAGCCAAUCCCAUAAAACCAUUCUCAGUU
rnacentral:rRNA from 2 species